AGUAACGCGUGAGGAACCUGCCUCAAAGAGGGGGACAACAGUUGGAAACGACUGCUAAUACCGCAUAAGCCCACAGCUCGGCAUCGAGCAGAGGGAAAAGGAGUGAUCCGCUUUGAGAUGGCCUCGCGUCCGAUUAGCUAGUUGGUGAGGUAACGGCCCACCAAGGCGACGAUCGGUAGCCGGUCUGAGAGGAUGAACGGCCACAUUGGGACUGAGACACGGCCCAG
rnacentral:rRNA from 1 species